UACGUAGGGGGCAAGCGUUGUCCGGAAUCAUUGGGCGUAAAGAGCGUGUAGGCGGCCAGAAAAGUCCGCUGUGAAAACUCGAGGCUCAACUUCGAGCUGUCGGUGGAAACUUUCUGGCUAGAGUCCGGAAGAGGAGAAUGGAAUUCCUGGUGUAGCGGUGAAAUGCGCAGAUAUCGGGAGGAACACCAAUUGCGAAGGCAGCUCGCUGGGACGUCACUGACGCUGAGACGCGAAAGCGUGGGGAGCAAACAGG
rnacentral:rRNA from 1 species